rnacentral:rRNA from 1 species
UUAGGAAUUUUGCGCAAUGGGGGAAACCCUGACGCAGCAACGCCGCGUGAGUGACGAAGGCCUUCGGGUUGUAAAGCUCUUUUAGCAGGGAAGAAACAAAUGACGGUACCUGCAGAAAAAGCACCGGCUAACUCCGUGCCAGCAGCCGCGGUAAUACGGAGGGUGCAAGCGUUAUUCGGAAUGACUGGGCGUAAAGCGCGUGUAGGCGGUGUGCUAAGUCUGGUGUGAAAUCCCUGGACUCAAUCCAGGAAGUGCAUUGGAUACUGGUACACUAGAGUACAGGAGAGGAGAGCGGAAUUCCAGGUGUAGAGGUGAAAUUCGUAGAUAUCUGGAGGAACAACAGAGGCGAAGGCGGCUCUCUGGACUGUAACUGACGCUGAGACGCGAAAGCGUGGGGAGC